GAUUAAAGAAAUGGAUAUAAAGGAGAGAAACUUAAGGGGCUAAAUAGAAAAGAGCAGAGGUACUUUCAAAUACAAGCUUGGGCCUCAGGAAGAGAUAAUAUUUCUAAUAGGCUGAAGACCCUGAAUAUUAAAUGGACAGAAGGUGUUCAAAGAAGCACCCACCAGAUUGAGAGAACUGGAGGGAUAUAUUCAUCAGCAGCAUCUUGUGCCGAAGUCCUCUGGUUUCCCUGUUCUCCAAACAACGGUGCUCGUGUCUUCUGCCUCAGAAAACGUGGCACAAACUCAGCAUCCUUUGGAAAUCUCGACACCUGCCGAUUUGGAUCAAACUACGACAGAAUUGGCUGACUGGUUGGCAUUGAUCGACCAAAUGCUAAAAUCCAAUAUAGUUACUGUUGGAAAUAUUGAAGAAAUCAAUCGGACGAUUGCACGCAUGAAAAUAACAGAAGUUGAUUUAGAACAUCGACAUCCCCAGUUGGGAUUCAGUUUGUAUACCCUUGGCUCAAAAUCUGAAAAACAAAACAUCAGGUUCUGAC